GACAGAGGUGCCAAGCGUUAGGCGGAAUCACUGGGCUUAAAGCGUGUGUAGGCGGAUUCCUAAGUACCUUGUGAAAUCCCAAGGCUCAACCGUGGAACUGCUCGGUAUACUGGGUAUCUUGAGCCACUUAGGGGCGACCGGAACAAAUGGUGGAGCGGUGAAAUGCGCAGAUAUCGUUUGGAACGCCGAUGGUGAAAACAGGUCGCUGGGGCUGUGCUGACGCUGAGACACGAAAGCCAGGGGAGUGAACGGG
rnacentral:rRNA from 1 species